UCCUGGACUCAAGCAAUUUGUCUACCUCAUCCUGUUCAAUAGUUAGGACUACAGGAUGAAAUCCCAACAUGUCUCCUUGUCACCUAUGUCUGUCCCUUCAACUCAGGACCCACACUACAACUAAAUGAUCUUUUCAAAAAGCAAAACUGAUCAUACCAACCACUGCCUCUCAGCAGGAGUUGAAAGCUGUCACCACUCUGCUAACUCAACUCAAGCAUCACCACCGCUGGGAUGCUGUCCUGGCCCUCUUCUCAGAUGGAACUGGCCAUUUUCUUUUUGGUGCCUACACCCUGCCCCCAAUCUCACAUGUAUAUGUCUCUGUGUUACUUGCUUUCUUAUUCUGCUAUGUUCUUACAGGUUUAUAAAUUGUUACUCUUGUGUUAGGGGGUGAACUCUUUGAGUCAUUCCUAAGCUGUCCACCUUUUUUUGGAGCUUAAUACAGUACCUGACACUUAUGAAACAUGCAAUCUC
rnacentral:lncRNA from 1 species